CCCAUUUCACUUCAUCCCUCUCAGACUUCUUCUCCUCUCCCUCUCAAACUCUUCUCACCGGAAAUUGCUUCCACCGUGUCGAAAAUUGUCUCCGGCGGCGGCGCAGCCCAGAAUGCUAGCAAACCUACACCAAUAGAAUCGUCUCCUCAUCCUCUUUCUAUCCCCAACCUUAUUUUCUCCAAAUCCCUAACCAACAAACCUCAUUCUACCCUAAACAUUGAAAAUCCUAGAAGUUUCUAAAUUAAAUAACCAUCUACGAAUUCAGAGUAUAACCUUAGGGAUAUGGUUCAGUAAUGCAUGGGAUACAAUAUGGUAACAAGAAGAAGAAUUUUUAGGAUGCUUUUGUGUUUACCUACGGAGCCGAGGCUUGCUCCAGUGAAUGUUGCAGAAAAGGCUUGAAGAUGAUGAGCAAGAAACCCAUAGAGGAGACUCCAUCUCAGAUAAGUUGGAUGGCUUUGGCAUGAAGUCAAGUGGUUUUCCAUGAAGGUCCAAGCCAUGCAUGAAGAUGAAUGAUCAUGGGGGACAAUGGUGUGAUUGUUGGAAGAUGAAUGUAGAUAGGUCUAGGGUCAUCUUAGGAUUUGGGUCAGGGUUUGAUCAACUGUUUGACCAAAAAAUCAACAGUUGAUCAAAAGUCAACAACAGGUCAAACUUGGAUUUUUUUAUGCAUUCUUCCAUUUUGUAGUGUAUUCUCUUGUAUUUGACUUUGUAAUUGGUUGACUUUCCAUUAAAACAUGUUUUGUAAGAAAUAACAUACUUUUCCCUCCUUUUGAA